CGCCAUGUUAGGAGUACUGGGACGAUUCCGCGGAGCCGGGCAGAGGUUUUAGGGGUGCGCAGGAGUCAAGUGGUGGUUCAGUGGGGACGGAAUGAUUAACAAAGGCGUCCGAAGAAAUCGUUGUUGGAAGGUGACCAAGGUGGAAAGAGACGUUGCUUUGGCCCUGCAAGUAAGAAGAGAGAGGGAAUAGCCUGAAGGAGUAACACUAAAUUUAAAAUGACACUUUUUUACCAACCAGCGAAAGCAGAUGUUCAAAGGGGAUAUUGGCCAGAGUCUGUCACACUAAGAUGAGAAAUGUCCUUUCUUCCUGAAGGUGUCUGAUGUGUAAAAAUAUGAUAUACUUUGUGCUGUUUCCUCCCUUCCCUUUUGCAUAUUAUUCUGAAACAACAUUAACUAGUUACUUUGCGUCAUUGAAGAACUCACUUUGAGG
rnacentral:lncRNA from 1 species